UUAUGUGAUCGUCUCUCGCAUAUCAAUAAGCGGAGGAAAAGAAAAUAACAAUGAUUUCCCUAGUAACGGCGAGUGAACAGGAAAGAGCUCAAAGUUGGAACCUGCUUGACUUAGUUAAGCCGGAUUGUAAACUGUAGAAACGUUUUCUAGGCAAGCCGAGUUAAAAAGUCCUUUGGAACAGGGCAUCAUAGAGGGUGAGAAUCCCGUCUUUGACUCGAGUAUUUUGUCUUUUUAUGAUACGUUUUCCAAGAGUCAGGUUGUUUGGGAAUGCAGCCUAAAUUGGGUGGUAAAUCUCACCUAAAGCUAAAUAUUGGCGAGAAACCGAUAGCGAACAAGUACCGUGAGGGAAAGAUGAAAAGAACUUUGAAAAGAGAGUUAAACAGUACGUGAAAUUGUCAAAAGGGAAGCGUUUGACACCAGUGUUGUUUUUCUGAAAAUCAAUUAAAGAACUGUUUAUGCUAAGCUGUUUAGACUUUAUCAGCUAUCUGCUUAGUUUUGAGCUUUUCUUUAAUGCACUUUUCAGUUAACAAGUCAACAUCAAUUUCUUUUGCUGUAAAAAAGCUUGAGGAAGGUGGCUUGAGAUUCGUCUUAAGUGUUUAUAGCCUCUUGCCUAUGCAGUCGGAGAGAUUGAGGUCUGCAGCGUAGAUCCUUCGGGGCUAAAUGCAUUUGUACUAAGUUAUAGCAUUUUAUAGACAACUUGUUGACUAUGAUUUGUCUUGUAGCUUACUCGCUUAUGUUAUUUUACCUACGCUUAGGAUGUUGAAGAUAUGCGCGACACG
rnacentral:rRNA from 1 species